UGCAGUACAUGCAAUUAAUAGAACCCCUUUCCUAGUCUGCAUUUUAUCUCUAAUUCGGAUUGCAUUCGAAUUAGGCAAGAGAUAAUAUUAUGACUCAUCAGCUGUAGCCGACCAUCCUUAUUGGAUCCUCUCUCAUGAUGCCAAAAAUCACAAUCCAAAUCUAAUUAGGCAUGGAGAAAUUAGCAUGGAUCCAGACAUGGCGCAAAA
rnacentral:lncRNA from 1 species